GACAGAGGUGCCGAGCGUUAGGCGGAAUCACUGGGCUUAAAGCGUGUGUAGGCGGCCCGUUAAGUGCCUCGUGGAAAUCCCCCGGCUCAACCGGGGAACUGACCGGGCAUACUGGCGGGCUUGGGUCGCUCAGGGGCGAGACGGAACAGGCGGUGGAGGCGGUGAAAUGCGUAGAUAUCGCCUGGAACGCCGAAGGUGAAAAC
rnacentral:rRNA from 1 species